CAGACCCCUCUGAUAUAAAAAGAUUUUAUGAAAGGCGAAAGGGGGGAGGCAACAAUAAUUCUCACCCUAUUAUAUUCCUUUCAAUUAUUUACAGUAAGAGGCACUGAUGGUGAACAAAUAUAGAGACUGGAAUCCAGUGAGGUCACACAGGCGCUCUGGAAGCCAGUGAUGCAGUAUCAGAAUCUGGGAACACAAUGAGGCAAUGUUUCAGCUGCUUGUGCAUUCUUCACCUCCCAUUGUCUCUGUCUCUCUCUUUCUCCUCUGCUUCCCCUCCCCCCACAACCAAAGUCAAGAGCACAGACCCCACGAGAAUCCUUGACCUGCAGGUUGAAGGAGAAGUCAUAGUAAAUAAGUCACUGGAGAUAGAUGGGCA
ensembl:lincRNA